GCCGGUUUCCCUAGAUGAUCUUCACCGGUUGUCCUGGGUGACCGGCACGUUUACUUUGAAAAAAUUAGAGUGCUCAAAGCAGGCGUGUAGCCUGAAUAAUGGUGCAUGGAAUAAUGGAAUAGGACUUCGUUUCUAUUUUGUUGGUUUUCGGAACACGAGGUAAUGAUUAAGAGGGACAGACGGGGGCAUUCGUAUUGCGACGCUAGAGGUGAAAUUCUUGGACCGUCGCAAGACGAACUACUGCGAAAGCAUUUGCCAAGAAUGUUUUCAUUGAUCAAGAACGAAAGUUAGAGGUUCGAAGGCGAUCAGAUACCGCCCUAGUUCUAACCAUAAACGAUGCCAACCAGCGAUCCGCCUGAGUUCCUCAAAUGACUCGGCGGGCAGCUUCCGGGAAACCAAAGUGUUUGGGUUCCGGGGGAAGUAUGGUUGCAAAGCUGAAACUUAAAGGAAUUGACGGAAGGGCACCACCAGGAGUGGAGCCUGCGGCUUAAUUUGACUCAACACGGGAAAACUUACCCGGCCCGGACACUGGAAGGAUUGACAGAUUAAGAGCUCUUUCUUGAUUCAGUGGGUGGUGGUGCAUGGCCGUUCUUAGUUGGUGGAGCGAUUUGUCUGGUUAAUUCCGAUAACGAACGAGACUCUAGCCUACUAAAUAGGCGUCCCGAUCACUUCUGUCGGGCGUUCUUCUUAGAGGGACAAGUGGCGUUUAGCCGCACGAGACAGAGCAAUAACAGGUCUGUGAUGCCCUUAGAUGUCCGGGGCCGCACGCGCGCUACACUGAAGGAAUCAGCGUGUGCUUUCCCUGUCCGGUAGGACUGGGUAACCCGUUCAACCUCCUUCGUGAUAGGGAUAGGGGCUUGUAAUUGUUCCCCUUGAACGAGGAAUUCCCAGUAAGCACGAGUCAUAAGCUCGUGUUGAUUACGUCCCUGCCCUUUGUCCACACCGCCCGUCGCUACUACCGAUUGAAUGAUUUAGUGAGGUCUUCGGACUGGCGCUCGGAGCGGCCGCAAGGUCGCGCCGG
rnacentral:rRNA from 1 species